CAGGACUCUUCCUUAUGAACAAAUGAUGUGUAGGGCAGCAGACUGGGAGUAGAGAGUGGUGGAACUUGACACUGGAAUAUAGGGUCAGGUGUUGUUGUCUUAGGAAGAUGCCUCCAUUCCUGGCUAAUGAGAGUUUUAAUAGCUCUGUUGAGCCCUUCAUGUUCGAACGUACCCCCACAUCUAUCAGUUCUCUGACUGUCUUCUCCCUCACCUUCCUCCUGGGUCUGCCUGGAAAUGGCCUGGUGAUAUGGGUAACCACCCUGAAAAUGAAGCGAACAGUGAACACCACUUGGUUUCUCCACCUUGCGGUGGCUGACUUCCUGUGCUGCCUGUCCCUGCCUUUUUACAUUGUUCAUCUGGCUCUCCAUGAGCACUGGCCUUAUGGUUGGUUUUUCUGCAAGAUUAUUCCAACAACCAUUAUUUUCAACAUGUUUGCCAGUGUCUUUCUCCUCACCACCAUCAGUAUUGACAGAUGUCUGGUGGUGAUGAAGCCUGUCUGGUGUCAGAAUCACCGAACAGUAAGGUUCACUGCCAUGAUAUGUGGUGGCAUCUGGCUCUUAGCCUUCAUUAUGUGUUGUCCUGCCUUCUUCUACCGUGAGACCUCCAUGGAUGAAUUUGGCAACACCAAAUGUGUCUACAAUUGGCACGGUGAGGAAUAUGCAGAGGACAACUGGCCAGCGGACGCAUUUUCCGGCAACUAUGAGUCUUUUAUUCCAUACCCUUCUCCCAUGGAUAGUGGAAUCUAUGAGGACAACAUCACAUAUGGAAUUCUGGAUAUGUAUCUGGAGUAUCCUAUUCUGAACACUGAAAAAAGCAAGUUUCUGCAUUCUAGCAUAUCAAAUAAUCACAGCAUCAGUAAAGUUACAGAUUCGUCAGUGACAGCCAUCACGCAUCCUACACCAAUAUUGCAUGAACUUCCCAGAAUCUAUCAGAAUCUAUCCAAUAUUCUUCAUUCAGAUGUUCCUCCUGGCAUUUAUUCUGAGACCCUCUUUUUGAGUAAUGAUUCAACAGAAAUGUACUUUUAUGAUUUCUCUGAAAUCCAACCACCAAGUGUCCUUUUGUCCAUUACCAUUACCAGAAGCGUCUUUGGUUUCCUUCUCCCCUUUGGAAUCAUGGUGACCUGUUAUGCACUUAUUGCUCACAAGAUGCUCAAAAACCAAUUUGCUAAGCCCCGCAGGAAGGCUCUACAGAUUAUCCUGCUUGUGAUAGCUGCUUUUUUCCUCUGCUGGGCUCCUUACCAUGUAAUUGGGGCGCUGUACAUCCUGGCUUCCCCAGGCACAGAAUUUCAUGAAAAGCUGGUUUUGUGGGACCACAUUUCCACAGCACUGGCCUAUGCCAACAGCUGCAUCAACCCACUUCUUUAUGUGUUCGUGGGUCGAAGUUUCAGAGAAAAAGCACACCAGACAGUGCAAGGGAUUUUUGAAGGGGCUUUCCGUGAGGAAGCUACAUGCUCCACAGCCUACACUCAGGACAGAAGCAGGUCUAUCAUUGACAAUGAUAUUGAUGUUUCAGUACUCUAAAAUGGAUCUUCUAGACAACAGAAAUUCUGUUUCAGUCUUCUGAAUUCCUGAUUUAGUGCAGCAAUACAGAUGUGAACAAUCUGGAUUAUGAUCUAUAGCUCUUGUAUAUAUGGAGGACACCUUGAACAUCUCACAUCUGCUUUGAAGGAGGCGUGGCCAAAGAUGGGAGAGUGGAGCUAAAUGGGCAUGGCUAGAGCGGUGUUGUGUAUUUGAAACCAGUACCUGAAGAGUUUUGUUCUACUUACGCCACUGGGUAGGACAUGACUAACACGAACACAGAAUUGGACUUGCACAACUAUGAGCGUCAUGUUUCAUGUAACACCACUGAGGACUCCAUUAACAGGUAUGUUUUUCCAGUGCACAUAUCUUGGAGUAGGGGCUACCCAGUUAUUGGAUGCCUUCCUGCUACAAAUUCACCAAGGCCUGAGCAUUGUUCAGAAGAGUUGCAAGACCUACAUUUUCGUACUUAGCUUUGGGGCAGAGGGUUACGCCAGGAAGA